rnacentral:rRNA from 1 species
UUUCCGUAGGUGAACCUGCGGAAGGAUCAUUAAUGAUUUUUUUAAGCGAUCCGAGCUUCAAAAAAGCGAGGAUUGCGAAAUAUUUAGAACCCCACUCUUUUAUUAAACUAUUAUGAAAACGUGAAUUUAUUUUAAAAAGAUCACUUUCAACAACGGAUCUCUUGGCUCUCGCAUCGAUGAAGAACGCAGCGAAAUGCGAUAAGUAGUGUGAAUUGCAGAAAUUGUGAAUCAUCGAAUCUUUGAACGCAAAUUGCACUCUCUGGUAUUCCGGGGAGUAUGCCUGUUUGAGGGUCGUUAGAAAAAAAUCGAAGCGUCGCUCUUUAUGAAAAAUAUUUAAUAUAUUUCGUUUUGGGUGAUUGCGUCGGAAUUGAGCCGUCUUUCAUAUGUUUUAUUUAUGUCAAAGUGGUUUAAAAUUCAUCAAUCUGGUACGAUUUAAAGCGUAUUUAAGAUCAGCAUUGAUUAAGAACGCGCGAUGAAGACGGUAUCAUCUCAUGUAGUACGUUCGACCUGCUUUGUCAGGCUCAUUCGUAUACGACAACUCAACUUUUGACCUCAAAUCA